CCAGCUGGCCUUUCAUCCCCUCUACAUUCCUGCUCCUAUUUUCCUUGGGAUGCCUCUUCUGUUCGAAUGUCAAGGGCUGCAAUCUCUUGAUGUGUGAAACUCUCUACCACCUGCUUGCUCUAGGCCACAGGAGAGGGCAUCCUAGACCCAUGAAGGAAUAGAAUUCUGGAAACAUGCCUAUGGCCUGCAUGGACAUGAUGUCAGCAGCAGCAGUGUGAAGGACCAGACAUCCACUGCCAAAUAAGUGAUGGAUUUUGAGCACUAACAAGAGCCUCCACCCAAAGCACACUAAGAAAAUAUGUUCCUGCUACCCCAGUAUAAGGCAGUAAAGACCUGACUGAUGGAGAUAUGAA